AUUGAACGCUGGCGGCAGGCCUAACACAUGCAAGUCGAACGAGUGGCGGACGGGUGAGUACUGUCUGGGAAACUGCCCGAUGGAGGGGGAUAACUACUGGAAACGGUAGCUAAUACCGCAUACCAUCGGAUGUGCCCAGAUGGGAUUAGCUGGUAGGUGAGGUAACGGCUCACCUAGGCGACGAUCCCUAGCUGGUCUGCACGGAUGACCAGCAAAGCUGAAACUGAGACACGGUCCAGAAUCCGACGGGAGGUAGCAGUGGGGAAUAUUGAGCAAUGGGCGCAAGCCUGAUGCAGCCAUGCCGCGUGUAUGAAGAAGGCCUUCGGGUUGUAAAGUACUUUCAGCGGGGAGGCGUUACCCGCAGAAGACGCACCGGCUAACUCCGUGCCAGCAGCCGCGGUAAUUC
rnacentral:rRNA from 1 species